CAAAUAAAGGUCCUGUUCAUUUUACAUUAAUAUGCUGAAGCUCGCCUCUGUAGUAUUACCCGAGGGAGGAGGCUGUGAAGGAGCGUUUUAAUGAAGAUAAUUGAUGAAAGACACCAGAUGCAUUCAUCCUUCAAGUGUUUCAAAGCUGCAGAGCACUAGAGGUAAGCACUGCAGAGGUCCUCACAAGGAAACAUUUCACACUUGGACACAGAGAUACAUGUGUCUUAUUAUUUAGUGAAACUAUUUCACUUUUUUAAAUAACCUUGAAAUCAUUUGUUAAGAUGCAUUUAAAAUGUCACUAAAGCAAGUCCCAAAAAUAGCACCAAAACACAGCAUCAGCAUUUUUAGUAUGUAGAGUAUUUGAUUUCAGCACAAUGUUUAUAUAAAUUGUGUUACAAUAAAUAUAUGAAACUUGAUUUCAUGAAAGACUGUCCCACUUUUAUAUUGCAGCUGUACUGCCAGGUUAAUGAGUUUUUCUCUUGCAAAUUUGAUCGUAGCCUUUUGUAAUUUAACUCUUUGAACAUAUCUUGAAUUAUGAAUCUUAAUCUUUAAUGUAAAAAAAAUCAUCUAAAUUAACAAACAAAUGGAGCAAAGUGAAAUUAUUGCACUCAGAAUUAAACAGUGAAAGUGCGAUAAAAAGGAAAUAUUCAAAGUCAAAAGGGAGGGCCCUGUAACUGUCAGGAAAGCAUGGAUUUAUUGUUUCUACUUGCUAUUCACUUCUGAUAAUAUUGACUGAUUAUUUCAUGUCAAGGUUUAACUGGAUAACAAAUUUUCAUUGGCUACUGUAAUGGGCAUACACUCAAGUACUUGUGACAAGUGACGUCAUGUCAAUUUUGCAAUUGUUUCUGAAGUUACAGGGGUCUACAGUAUUCUUCUACCAAAUGCACCAUAUUUUUUUAUUUUUCUAUUUCAUAUUUCAUGUUGUUUACAGUUUGAUUUGUUGUAUUUUGUUCUGUUAUAUAAUACCCAUAACCAAUAAUCUGCUGCACAAAUGUUAUGAUGUCUCUGUAAUAAGAACCUUUCAUACAAGCAGAAUUUAGACUACCAGAGGCAGCUCUCCUGGCCUAUCUACAAAUAAAAUCAAUUACUGGCAGAUUUACCCUCACACAUAAAACAGAACUAGAUAACAACUUAAUGUCAGCCAUUAUAAAAACAGGCACAACUUUGAGUAUUAAUAAGAUCUUGUUACUUGCCUCACCUAAUCCAUUUAUACCCACUCGACAGGCAUGGGAGAGGGAUCUUGGUGUGUCACUGACUCCAGAACAGUGGAAUGCUAUAUGGUAUUGUGUCAUCCAGGUGAGUUCAGUACAGGAUCAUGCAAUUUAAGAUAUUAUGUAGAGCUUGUAUGACACCCUCUCGUAUAUCCAAAUAAAUAAAGAUCUGUCAGAUCAAUGCUGGCAGAACUGUGGGGGGAAUGGAUCAUUAUUACAUCUUCUAUGGGACUACCAGCAUCAAGACAUUCUGGCUUGGCAUAACAGAUAUGUUUAAGGUUCAUGCACCUGUCUGUCCCAUCACAUGCCUUCUUGGACAUUCACUGGAACAUGUCAAAUCAAACUCCACACACUACUUAAUGAAUUUAGGCUUUCCCUCUGCAAAGAGAAUCAUCCUUAUGAACUGGAGGCAACACAAGCCCUCAUGUUUUACACUAUUGGAAUGGAUUAGAGACUAUCUAGACCUGCUAAGCAUGGAACGCGCCUCCAACCUGCUCUUUGACUAUGACACAAACACUCAAGGACACUGGGACAUUGCACGGACAUUCAUGGAGAAAAGAUCACUUCUAUGCCAAUAUGCAAAGCUGUCUAUAUUGUAUAUUUUCCUGCAACCUAUGCUUUCUUUUGUCAUUAAUAUCAAGUCAAAUGCUAUGGGUGUGCUGUGAAGUGUGUGUGUGCAUCGGUGAGAGGCAUGGUUGGAUAUGUACAUUGCAGUGCUAUGCAGCAGACUUGUCAUUUUGCCUUGUUUUCUUAUGAUGUUG
rnacentral:lncRNA from 1 species